GAUGAACGCUAGCGGCAGGCUUAAUACAUGCAAGUCGAGGGGCAGCAGGUCUGUAGCAAUACAGAUGCUGGCGACCGGCAAACGGGUGCGGAACACGUACAGAACCUUCCUUUAAGUGGGGAAUAGCCCAGGGAAACUUGGAUUAAUACCCCGUAAUAUGAUAAAGUGGCAUCACUUUAUUAUUAUAGCUCCGGCGCUUAAAGAUGGCUGUGCGGCUGAUUAGGUAGUUGGCGGGGUAACGGCCCACCAAGCCUACGAUCAGUAACUGGUGUGAGAGCACGACCAGUCACACGGGCACUGAGAAACGGGCCCGACUCCUACGGGAGGCAGCAGUAAGGAAUAUUGGGCAAUGGACGCAAGUCUUACCCAGCCAUGCCGCGUGGAGGAUGAAGGUCCUCUGGAUUGUAAACUUCUUUUAUCUGGGAAGAAAUCUAUUUUUUCUAAAGUAGUUGACGGUACCAGAUGAAUAAGCACCGGCUAACUCCGUGCCAGCAGCCGCCGUAAAAC
rnacentral:rRNA from 1 species